UACGAAGGGGGCUAGCGUUGCUCGGAAUUACUGGGCGUAAAGCGCACGUAGGCGGCGAUUCAAGUUAGAUGUGAAAGGCCUGGGCUCAACCCGGGAACUGCAUUUGAUACUGAAUUGCUAGAGUCCAAGAGAGGGUAGUGGAAUUCCCAGUGUAGAGGUGAAAUUCGUAGAUAUUGGGAAGAACACCAGUGGCGAAGGCGGCUACCUGGCUUGGUACUGACGCUCAGGUGCGAAAGCGUGGGGAGCGAAC
rnacentral:rRNA from 1 species